ACUGCUAUCGGGGUUCGACUAAGCCAUGCGAGUCGAGAGGUGCAAGACCUCGGCGUACUGCUCAGUAACACGUGGAUAAUCUACCCUGAGGCGGGGGAUAACCCCGGGAAACUGGGGAUAAUACCCCAUAGAUUAUGGAGGCUGGAAUGCACUAUAAUCAAAAGCUCCGGCGCCUCAGGAUGAGUCUGCGGCCGAUUAGGUUGUUGUUGGGGUAACGGCCCAACAAGCCGAUAAUCGGUACGGGUUGUGGGAGCAAGAGCCCGGAGAUGGAUUCUGAGACAUGAAUCCAGGCCCUACGGGGCGCAGCAGGCGCGAAAACUUUACAAUGCGAGCAAUCGUGAUAAGGGAACCCCGAGUGCCUGUAUACGCAGGCUGUUCAGAUGUCCAAAACACAUCUGGAGAAAGGGCCGGGCAAGACCGGUGCCAGCCGCCGCGGUAAUACCGGCGGCUCGAGUGGUGGCCACUAUUACUGGGCUUAAAGCGUCCGUAGCUGGGUUGUUAAGU
rnacentral:rRNA from 1 species